UUCUCGACUCGCUGUCGCUGGCUCUUUGGAGCAUGUGCACGCCUGUUCGAGACUUCAUUUUCAUCCACCUGUGCACUUUUGUAGUCUCGAAAAGAAGGGGGAUGUUGGGUUGUCAGGACUUGUUCCUGGAUGGGAGGGCUUUGCUACUGCAGACUCUCUGGUUUUGACCCUCAUCUCUCGACUUGCCGAGUUCUACGUUAUCAUAUACCCUUUAAAAAUGUCAAAGAAUGUUCUUACAUGGGCUCUGCCUGUGAUAAAAUCUAUACAACUUUCAGCAACGGAUCUCUUGGCUCUCGCAUCGAUGAAGAACGCAGCGAAAUGCGAUAAGUAAUGUGAAUUGCAGAAUUCAGUGAAUCAUCGAAUCUUUGAACGCACCUUGCGCUCCUUGGUAUUCCGAGGAGCAUGCCUGUUUGAGUGUCAUUAAAUUCUCAACCCAUAACCUCUUUUUGGAGGGUCUGGGCUUGGACUGUGGAGGCUUUGCUGGUGAAAACCGGCUCCUCUGAAAUGCAUUAGCGGAACCGUUUGCGAUCUGCCACAAGUGUGAUAAUUAUCUACACUCAAGGGGGAUUGCUCUCAGUGUGUUCGGCUUCUAAUCGUCUGCGGACAAACUAAUGAAAACUUGACCUCAAAUCAGGUAGGACUACCCGCUGAACUUAAGCAUAUCA
rnacentral:rRNA from 1 species